AGAGUUUGAUCCUGGCUCAGGAUGAACGCUGGCGGCAUGCCUAAUACAUGCAAGUCGAACGAGAGGAAGGAAAGCUUGCUUUCCUAAAUCUAGUGGCGAACGGGUGAGUAACACGUAGGUAACCUGCCCAUGUGCCCGGGAUAACUUCUGGAAACGGAUGCUAAAACCGGAUAGGUAGCAGACAAGCAUUUGACUGCUAUUAAAGUGGCUAAGGCCAUGAACAUGGAUGGACCUGCGGUGCAUUAGCUAGUUGGUGAGGUAACGGCCCACCAAGGCGACGAUGCAUAGCCGGCCUGAGAGGGCGGACGGCCACAUUGGGACUGAGACACGGCCCAAACUCCUACGGGAGGCAGCAGUAGGGAAUUUUCGUCAAUGGGGGGAACCCUGAACGAGCAAUGCCGCGUGAGUGAGGAAGGUCUUCGGAUCGUAAAGCUCUGUUGUAAGAGAAAAACGGCACUCAUAGGGAAUGAUGAGUGAGUGAUGGUAUCUUACCAGAAAGUCACGGCUAACUACGUGCCAGCAGCCGCGGUAAUACGUAGGUGGCGAGCGUUAUCCGGAAUCAUUGGGCGUAAAGAGGGAGCAGGCGGCCGCAAGGGUCUGUGGUGAAAGACCGAAGCUAAACUUCGGUAAGCCAUGGAAACCGGGCGGCUAGAGUGCGGAAGAGGAUCGUGGAAUUCCAUGUGUAGCGGUGAAAUGCGUAGAUAUAUGGAGGAACACCAGUGGCGAAGGCGACGGUCUGGGCCGCAACUGACGCUCAUUCCCGAAAGCGUGGGGAGCAAAUAGGAUUAGAUACCCUAGUAGUCCACGCCGUAAACGAUGAGUACUAAGUGUUGGGGAAACUCAGUGCUGAAGCUAACGUAUUAAGUACUCCGCCUGAGUAGUACGGUCGCAAGGCUGAAACUCAAAGGAAUUGACGGGCACCCGCACAAGCGGUGGAGCAUGCUGUUUAAUUCGAAGAUACGCGAAGAACCUUACCUAGACUUGACAUCCCUGGCAAAGAUAUGGAAACAUAUUGGAGGUUAACCGGGAGACAGGUGGUGCAUGGUUGUCGUCAGCUCGUGUCGUGAGAUGUUCGGUUAAGUCCGCUAACGAGCGCAACCCUUGUCCUUAGUUGCUAACAUUAAGUUGAGAACCCUAAGGAGACUGCCGAUAAUAAAUCGGAGGAAGGUGGGGAUGACGUCAAAUCAUCAUGCCCCUUACGUCUAGGGCUACAGGCGUGCUAUAAUGGCCAUUAUAAAGAGAAGCAAAACUGUGAAGUAGAGCAAAACUCCAAAGAUGGUCUCAGUUCGGAUUGAAGUCUGCAACUCGACUUCAUGAAGCUAGAAUCGCUAGUAAUCCUGAAUCAGAAUGUCAGGGUGAAUACGUUCCCGGGUGUUGUACACACCGCCCGUCACGCCACGAAAGUCUGUAAUACCCAAAUGUGGUAGCCUAACCUUUUAGGAGGGGGCCAUUUAAGGUAGGACAGGUGAUUGGGGUGAAGUCGUAACAAGGUAUCCCUACGAGAACGUGGGGAUG
rnacentral:rRNA from 1 species